CCAGGAUUCAGCUGUAAGCGUUUGCAACACUUACAACAAUCAAGUAACACACAUUCAUAUAAAAUGUAAGUUACUUGGCCAGUCAUGUAAUGACAGGAAUGAAUACGUAGAUAACUUCCUAAUUCCCACGGUAUUAGGGUGCUAUCUAUUAAAAGGCUGAAAGAUUACUUAGUAUUAGUAAAUCAUGCCCCUAAUCGCUAUACCAUGAGUAGGGGCAUGUCUAUUAAACAGUGAGCAGCCUGUGGCUCAGGGGUGGGGGCAUGAGGACAUUAGGUCCCCCCCUUUAUUCUAGUUUAG